GCGCGAUUAGCUCAGUGGUAGAGCGCUUGCUUCACACGCAAGAAGUCGCAGGUUCGAACCCUGCAUCGCGCA
rfam:Verrucomicrobia bacterium 13_2_20CM_2_54_15_9cls 13_2_20cm_2_scaffold_5708, whole genome shotgun sequence.